CUUGUGGCCACAUCACAUUGAAGCCCCAGUUCCCAUAUGAUCACUGAAGUUAAACAAUGUCAAGCCUGGUCAGUACAUAGAUGGGUAAAUGCUUAGAAAUACCAGGUUCUGUAAG